rnacentral:rRNA from 1 species
UACGUAGGGGGCUAGCGUUGUCCGGAUUUAUUGGGCGUAAAGAGCGUGUAGGCGGCCAGAUAGGUCUGCUGUGAAAACUCGAGGCUCAACCUCGAGCUGUCGGCGGAAACCAUUUGGCUAGAGUCCGGAAGAGGAAAGUGGAAUUCCUGGUGUAGCGGUGAAAUGCGCAGAUAUCAGGAGGAACACCGGUGGCGAAGGCGGGUCUCUGGGCCGUAACUGACGCUGAGGAGCGAAAGCGUGGGGAGCGAACAGG